rnacentral:misc_RNA from 1 species
GAUGAAGAACGUAGCGAAAUGCGUUACGUAAUGUGAAUUGCAGAAUUCAGUGAAUCAUCGAGUCUUUGAACGCACAUUGCGCCCCCUGGUAUUCCGGGGGGCAUGCCUGUCCGAGCGUCAUUGCUGCCCUCAAGCACGGCUUGUGUGUUGGGCCUCCGUCCUCCUCCCGGGGGACGGGCCCGAAAGGCAGCGGCGGCACCGCGUCCGGUCCUCGAGCGUAUGGGGCUUCGUCACCCGCUCUUGUAGGCCCGGCCGGCGCUUGCCGACACAUCAAUCUUUUUUCCAGGUUGACCUCGGAUCAGGUAGGGAUACCCGCUGAACUUAAGCAUAUCAAUACGGAGGA